rnacentral:lncRNA from 1 species
UUUUUUCCGGAAUAAUGAACUUUGUUUCUCACAUAAAGCAUGCCGUGCGAAAAAGAAAAUUUGUGUUUCACGGUGAAGCACAACUGUCCUUUCGAAAAGUCUUCCAAAAAAUGAAAAGCACAGUUGAUGUACAGUUGUGCGACUUGAAAAAAAACACAGUAGUGCUUCGCGGUGAAUUACAGCUGGCCUUACUUGACCGACCAUAGACCCUGUUCAAUAAGUGAAACACAUUAGCCGUCCGCUCUCCGGGAAAAUAGAAAGCACAUUUGGGCAUCGUGUGAAGUACAGUUAUAAUUUCACGUGAAAAGUGCGGUUCCAAAAAAGGAGGCACGGUUGUGCUUCUUGGUUUCUGUUUUUCUUUUUAGUUUUUCC